rnacentral:rRNA from 1 species
CCCUAAUCGAUCCCGACUAGUUCUUGGAAAUUUACAUUAUCGGUAUAGUAGACAACGCGUGAAUUCGGUCCCCUGGGGAAUUACGGUCGCAAGAUUAGGACUUAAAGUAAUUGACGGGGAUCCGCGCAAGCGCUGGAUGAUGUGGAUUAAUAAGAUGCAACCCGAAAAACCUUACGGACCCUUGACAUGUCAAUAUCGAAGUAGAGAGGCAAGAGGUGCCCGUAAGGAAAAGUGGACACAGGGUCUGCAUGUCUGUUCGAGCUCGUGUCAUAGAAUAUUGGGUUAAGUCCCGCUCCGAGCGCCACCCUGCUCUUUUGGUGCUACGCAAGAUCAUUAUAAAGAGACUGCCGAUGCCAACCCGGAGGAANNNNNNNAUGAGUUCAAGUCUUCAUGGCCCUUAGGGGUUGGACUUCACACAUCAUACAAUGGUGCAUGCGGAGGGUUUCCAACCCGCGAGGGGGAUCUAAUGUCAGAAAAUGCUUCGUAGUCCGGAUGGUAGUAAGCAACUCGCUUAAAUGAAGCUGGAAUCGUUAGUAAUCGCGGAUCUUAAUGUGGCGGUGAAUACGUUCCCGGGUGUUGUCCACACCACCCGUCACACCAUGGGAGUGGGUUUCCCCAGAAGCCCUUCUCCUAUCCACAAGGAGGGCGGCUACCACGCCAGUCUUCAUGACUGUGAUGUAGUCGCAACAA